GAAACAUGCAAGGUGCAUGUGUGUGCUGCCCGAAAUCCCGAAAGGAGAAACGGAGGGCGGGGCCGCGGCCUGCUCAUCCCCCACAGGGCACUUCCCUCUACCGGCGGCCGUGAAAGGAGGGGAGAAGGCAUACCUUAGCACCACCACUCAGGGAGAACCCAGUCGGACCAGACACAUCGCCAAGUAAAUACUGCAGCGGGACUGGCAGGUCUCCUUUAAUGCCAAUACAGCGGCUGCAGGUCGGGGCCGCCCGGUCUCUAAUCGAGUCCACAGUGCACAGGCGGAGACGUGACCACGCCUGUCGGAGGACACUGCCAGGGUGCCGAGAUCGGAAAAGGGACGCGCCUUCACUUGAUCGUCUGCUCCAGAAGAAACAUCACCACACGCGCGACAAGGUCGCCAGGUGCCAUGAGGUAUGUACGCUGUAUAGGCAGUCUGCUCUCUCCUCAGGCGGUAACUGCUAGUCGGAGUCCUCCCCAUGGCCGAUCUGCCUUCUCAAUGCCACAUGCUCUACGGACCUGAUGCCAAGCUAAACAGGUCAUUUACGAGGUGGCCCAGCCAUUCGGAACAGGGUGAGGUGAGGUGGACGGGGUCAGCACUGAAUGCCAGAGUACAUGCCAACCCCGGCGUGGCAUUGAGGAAACUCCAACGUGAACGCACGUCUCUGCAGAGCCUGGUGUGUCACCGACUUACCUGCACGACACUGGACGCUGGGCAGGACCCUGUGAGUGCCCACUGCUCGUGGCCUCCUCUCCUCUCUGUGUGGGAAGCCUUCCUUUCCAUCACCUCCUCUUUUCUGUUAAGUAAAGGUUCAAAAACUUCAUUGACCCAAAUCACCACGCCCAACGACUUUGGAAACAGCGAGUAAGCAAAACCGGAGUCUUGGUUCGGCUCCCACAAACACAUCAUGCUGUCUGAGGGCUCAUUUAAUUCUGGGAGUGAAAUCGCACCCCCACGGAUUCCUGUUACUGGAAAACGCAUUCAAAGACACACACACAUAGCUUUAAACCAACGCGGUGGUUUUUAUUGAUGGGCGACAACUGUGAACUCCUAGGUACCACUACACCGUGUACAAUGAGGGAUGCGGCGUCACAGGAGAGCGGACAGAGCAGUAGAGAAAUACCAGUCUUCGUCAGUUUGCCCAUUUCUCACUAUGUGCACAGAGGCUGAGUGCAGUUGGACAUCUCGGAAUGGCAACAGCUACAAUCGCCCAUCCUACGUAGGCUGACGUCGUAACGCGGACAGGCCUGCAGUGCGUGCAGAAGCAGUUUCUCAUCGCACAAUUAUUAAAAUGUCUUUCUCUUGUUAGGAACCAGCAACUUAUUUUUUGUUUUCAUUUCUUCCUUGAAGUAAGAACUAUUUCUUCUCUGAUAA